rnacentral:tRNA from 1 species
GGAGACGUGGGUGAGCGGCUGAAACCAACGCUUUGCUAAAGCGUCAUACGGGAAACCGUAUCGAGGGUUCGAAUCCCUCCGUCUCCG